rnacentral:rRNA from 1 species
CCUGGGCUACACACGUGCUACAAUGGUGGUACAAGGGUUGCCAAGCCGCGAGGUGGAGCUAAUCCCAUAAAACCGAUCGUAGUCCGGAUCGCAGUCUGCAACUCGACUGCGUGAAGUCGGAAUCGCUAGUAAUCGUGAAUCAGAAUGUCACGGUGAAUACGUUCCCGGGCCUU